GGCAGGAUUAGCUGGGAGACUUCUAAAUGAGGGCGCACAUAGUCAGAGAUCAUCAUCCGAUGAUUCAACGACAGUAGAGACAGGCAGAGGACGCGGACGAGGGAGAGGAGAGAGAGUAGGGAGAGGACAGAGAGGCAGAGGUGGAUUGCAUGCGGUAGGAGCAGGGCAAGCGACAGAAGAGGAAGCUGCCGCGGAGAGAACCGGAGCCAUCCCAUGACAAAGACGUGCAACGUCUAUAAGAGGGGUGACAGCUGGAACUGCUACAAGGUCCCGAAGAUAGGUGUUUUCGAGAGAGGACGAGGAGAGAGUGGAGGAGCUCCCAAGGGCAGAGAAGAGAAGAAACGCAGCACCUUCUGCAGGGCAUGAGCCUGGAGGACCACCGCCAUCUCACCUCUCAACUUUUGAAAUAGCAGCCAGGGCUAGUUUUUU